AUGUUAUGAUUUGGGCACCUGCGUAAUAAAAGUUUAAAUCUUUCCCAUGCAUCAUACGAUAGUUCAGCUUCCUGCUGUUCGAAGUUUGUGAUUUCACCUCUUCGUUC